UCGGAGAACGGUUGGCGGCGGUCGUGCUUGGCGCGCGGUGGAGAGCGCAGAAGGAGACCAGCGCGAGGCGUUUCCGCUCCGGGCCCGCUCCGCUUCCUGCCCCGGUGGCCCCGGCGCUCCGUCGGCGUGGCAACCCUGUUCCCUCGCGCGCCUUUGCCGCUCCUUCGGCCGCGGAUGCAGCGCCGCGAGGACCUCGCCGCCGCCCGCCGGGGCAGGGCCCCGGGCCCCGCCGCCGCGGCCGCCCGCCUGCAGUCUCCUCAGGCCGCGGCGUCCCCCCGGAGGCCGCCGCGGGGUGCGGGCGCGCGCGGCGCUCAGCCGCCGCCUCUCCUCCCGCCCUCGGCCACAGGCCCGCCGGCCCCCAGCGUCGCGCCCACCCCGCUGAUGCCCGGCGCGGGGCCCGCGGUCAAGGCCGAGCCCGAGAGCAAGUACCUGCCCGAGCUGAUGGCCGAGAAGGACAGCCUGGACCCCUCCUUCACCCACGCCAUGCAGCUGCUGCAAGCGGAAAUUGACAAAGUUCAGAAGGGUGAAUCCAAGAAGGAUGAAGAAGAAACCUAUCUGGAUUUGUUUUCCCAUAAGAACAUGAAGCUGAAAGAACGAGUUCUGAUCCCAGUCAAGCAGUAUCCCAAGUUUAACUUUGUUGGGAAGAUAUUGGGACCCCAAGGCAACACUAUCAAGCGACUGCAGGAAGAAACUGGAGCAAAGAUCUCUGUUCUGGGAAAGGGGUCAAUGAGAGACAAGGCAAAGGAGGAGGAACUUCGUAAGGGUGGUGAUCCAAAGUAUGCCCACUUAAAUAUGGACCUGCAUGUCUUCAUUGAAGUUUUUGGACCACCCUGCGAGGCUUAUGCUCUUAUGGCCCAUGCCAUGGAAGAAGUCAAGAAGUUCCUUGUUCCAGAUAUGAUGGACGACAUCUGCCAGGAACAGUUUUUGGAGCUCUCCUAUCUCAAUGGAGUGCCAGAACCUACACGUGGUCGUGGAAUUCCUGUGCGAGGAAGGGGAGCUGUACCUCCACCUCCACCUGUUCCUAGUGUGUGGAGUGGGGCAGCCUUGAUGACAAGGGGGCGUGGCGUGGGACCUCCUCCACCUCCUCCACGGGGAGCCCUUGUACGAGGGGCCCCUGUGAGAGGUGCCAUUGCAAGAGGAGCAGCUGUUGCCCGGGGUGUUCCCCCUCUUCCAGCAGUGAGAGGUGCUCCUGCCCCAAGAGCUCGCGCAGCAGGCAUUCAGAGAAUACCUCUUCCUCCUCCUCCUGCCCCAGAGACAUACGAAGAUUAUGGCUAUGAUGAUGCUUAUGCAGAUCAAAGUUACGAAGGAUACGAAGGCUACUACAGCCAGGGUCAACAGGAAACAGAAUAUUAUGAUUACGGACAUGGUGAGGCUCAAGAAUCUUACGAGGCAUAUGGUCAAGAUGAUUGGAAUGGAACCAGGCCCUCCCUCAAGGCCCCUCCAGCUCGGCCUGUGAAGGGAGCAUAUAGAGAGCACCCAUACGGACGCUAUUAAAGUUUUCUGAGGGGGAAAUAUCACUUUUGAGCAAACAGUUGUUUCUGAUUCUUGUAUCUCCCAGGAUUCCUGUUGCUUUACCCACAACAGACAAGCGGUGCUCUGCAGCUCGGGGUGGAAAAUGGCUCUUGUUGAGCACAAGUUGGCUGAUCAAUUUGAUUGAUACAUGGCUUGGCACCAGGCUACCUGGAGGAAUACUGACUCCUGUGUGAACUUGCCUAGUUCUUAAGUUCUUCUGGAGAGGCCCUUCUUGCAAGGCCUCCACCUUCAGAAGCACAUUUGGUGGCAACACACAAGAGGGCUUUCGCAGGGCCACCUCUGGCCUGUGGAACUCCCUGCCUAGUGAGCUAAGUUUGCUCCCUCCUUGCUAGCAGUCAGAGACUUAUUCAAGCAGGCCUUUGGGGUGUUGGGGCAGAGGUGGUUUUUAAACUGUUCUUGUGUUUUGUGUUUAAUGUAUUUAUUAUUGUUUCCAUUAAGCAUUAUUAGCAAUUAUAAGGCAGUUUGAGUGCCCUUUUUGGUAGUAGGGUACAAGUAAACGAAUAAAUAGGAAAGCAUGAAAUUGCAGAGAGCUCACAUUCCCUAUUUAAUAGGAACACCUGAAAAGUCAUUUUCUUAGUCACAGAGGCUUCCUCCCUGACCUGGACCUAACAGGGACCCUAAGUUGUUAUAACAAUGACUACCCCUAAUGAAAUAAAGGCUGCCCCAUGGACGCUAGUAUGUGGUUCCUUUGUUAACUUACUGGGUCAAGAUCCAAUUUGCCUGAUCAAGCCAUCUGUUUGCCUGGCUUGUUAAACAUGGGUUGUUUAUGAGCAUGUAGGAAUGAACUAAUAUGCUGGUUCCCACCUGCUUCUGCAUCCAGGUAAUAAUUUCUAUGUUGUUUCAUGACAUCCAAACCUAAAAAUUCUGGAUUGUUUAGAGGCUGGACAACCUAGAGUUAACACACAGCAAACCAUAAUUUAACUCUGGGUUUAACAGCCCUGUUCCCAGGUUUGUGCAUCAUGAAACAAACCAGAAAUGGAGCAUUCCUGGAUUGUUAAUUGUAACUGGAAGGGGCAAGUGGCCAGGCAGCAGAUGCCCCCUCCCCCCAAGCUGUGAGAUGCAAAUUCGGCUAACAAAUAAUGGAAGGGCUCCCUGUAGCAGUUCCAGAAUGAUCCCAUAUCCCAUUAGGGCUAGUUUGCGGCUUCCCUCAGAACCCACACCAAAAUAGGCAAUUGUGACAAGACUGCAAGCUUGGAAGGGACCAGCUGCAAUGACUAAGUUAAGCAGUUUAAGCACAGGAACACAGUCCAACAGAUUUCAGAACAACCUGCCACAAAGGCCUAAUGAGCUCCUAAUUAAACUCAGAAUGCUGGCCCCAAUCAGCUGGACCAAGGCUUAUUUCACAAGAGAGAAAAAAGAAAUGACUGUGUUCUGAAAGUUAACAUGCCAUUGGAAUAAGCUGAUUAAGCAGUUCCUGCAUAUCUAAAAUGUACUCGUCUUGAUAGGGUGACAAGGCUGUUUUUGCCAUACAGAUCGCUUCUGAAACUUGGGUGUUAAAAUGUUCUAUUUGUUCUGUUUCCAAGAGCCUGAUCGAAUUUUACAGGUUUAUGGCAAGAAAGAAAUAUUGUGGAGAGCGCACUAAACUGAGUGGGAAAGAGUUGGCAAUUUAUUAUCUGGGGAGAACUUAACACAUGGAUGGGGGGGUUCUUGUUUGCACAGUGCACCUCUAUUCUGGGGUGUCUGUUCUUUGAGGAUCUUUUUUUUUCUACUUUUUUAUCGUCUCAUGAAUGUAUUCUUGACUUCUAAAAUAACUCGGCUUUUGCUGUUCUUUUGAAGCCAUGGCCCUGAAAAAUUGCAUCCAUACAUGGAAGCAGCAUCUGUAAUUCAGAGUGUCCUUUGUACUGCAGAAGUACAAAGAACACCUUGAAUUUAAACUGAAAAUCAGUUACUUUUAUAGCUUGUAGUGGGUUGAACAGACGUGUAGCUCCUUAGCAUUGCCUGCUCUUUUCAUCUGGGAGGGGACAACUAAAGUGACUUUAAGAACCAUAAACAUAAAGCCAGUGAUUAGUGCCUGAAAUUUGGGAGGUAGCCCCUCUUGGCCAGAAAACUUACUAGUGAUUUGGACCAGGCACUGACUUGGCCUAACCUACCUCACAGGAUUAUUGUGAGGAUAAAAUGCAGAGGAUUAGGUAAGCUACCUUCCAUUCCUUGCUGGUAAAAAGGAUGUAAAUAUCGUUAAUAAUUAAAUAUUGAUAUGUGACUUUUGCAGUAUAAUUGCUUUCUCUUUUUUUUCU